rnacentral:rRNA from 1 species
AUUGAACGCUGGCGGCAUGCCUUACACAUGCAAGUCGAACGGCAGCACGGGUGCUUGCACCUGGUGGCGAGUGGCGAACGGGUGAGUAAUAUAUCGGAACGUACCUUAUCGUGGGGGAUAACGCAGCGAAAGCUGUGCUAAUACCGCAUAAGCCCUAAGGGGGAAAGCAGGGGACCGUAAGGCCUUGCGCGAUUAGAGCGGCCGAUACCUGAUUAGCUAGUUGGUGAGGUAAAGGCUCACCAAGGCAACGAUCAGUAGCCGGUCUGAGAGGACGAUCAGCCACACUGGGACUGAGACACGGCCCAGACUCCUACGGGAGGCAGCAGUGGGGAAUUUUGGACAAUGGGGGCAACCCUGAUCCAGCAAUGCCGCGUGAGUGAAGAAGGCCUUCGGGUUGUAAAGCUCUUUUGUCAGGGAAGAAACAGCUGCUCUAAUACAGUAUGCGAAUGACGGUACCUGAAGAAUAGGCACCGGCUAACUACGUGCCAGCCGCCGCGGUAA